ensembl:snRNA U6 U6 spliceosomal RNA
GUGCUAGCUUCAGCAGCACACAUAUAAAAAUUAGAAUGAUACAGAGAAGAUUAGCAUGGCCCCUGUGCAUGGAUAACACAUAAAUUUGUGAAGUGUUCCACAUUUUU